UACGUAGGCAGCAAGCGUUGUUCGGAGUUACUGGGCGUAAAGAGUGUGUAGGCUGUUCUCUAAGUUGGUGUGAAAUCUCCCGGCUCAACUGGGAGGGUGCGCCGAAAACUGGAGGGCCCGAGUAUGGGAGAGGAAAGCGGAAGUUCCUGGUGUAGCGGUGAAAUGCGUAGAUAUCAGGAGGAACACCAAUGGCGAAGGCAGCACUCUGGGACGUGACUGACGCUGAGACGCGAAAGCGUGGGAGCAAACAG
rnacentral:rRNA from 1 species